ACUCCACAGGGAGAGCUGGACACAGCAAGCAGGAGAGCCCAGGCAAGGAUCCCACCAGCUCCUGAGCACAGGGAUCCCCACCUGCAGAAACAGGAUCUGAAAAGGCAGAUGCCACUUCACCUGACAAAAUAUGCCUCUUCCAUGUGACCUAUGAACUCCAUUAUUCACCUCUUACAGGGUACAGGACUGCAGGUUUGUGUGCUCAGACUCAUUAACAGCUCUGCUCUGUAACUGAAGUGAGGUGACUCUGCUGACCCCACUCUCCAACCUUUGCCUCUGAUGAGCUGUGACUUGUUCCCAGUUUUACAUUACUGUGACAUGUAAGUAUUUUGUCAGCCUCUUGUACUUUGCAGCACCUGCCAAACAUUCUCUCUGCUUGAGCCCACCUGGCCUUUGAGCCCAAUUACUGUCAUGGUGUGGCAGGUAAAGACACAGCACAGCCACUGCCUGCUUCAGCCACUGCCUCUUUAAAGCCUCUGCUGCAGCACCUCAGAUCAGUAACUGAUCUGACCCCGGUUAUUCAUUCCAUGAAUACAGCACCUUCUGCUGUUCCAGACAUCCUCAGAAAUUCUUGGAUAAGCAUAUUCUACUUCAGGCAGACACUGGAAUGAAACCCAGCUUUGUGCUGUGCCCUCCUGUGUGGAGCACACAGCUGCUGUGCCUGCCUUCAGUGCAGGCUGGGAUAUUUUACUUUCCCAAGGGCAGCACAGCUGCCCCAGCAGCAGGACCUGAACUCUGUGCCCUGGGAAAGCUGCUCCAUCCCACACCACCCUGCCAGGACUGCCCAGCAGCAGUGCCUCAGUGCUUUGUGGAGCUCCUCUGCUCUGCAUGUGUCCAAAUUCUUCCCCCAGGGCCAUUGCUGUGGGACCCCCCACACCCAGGCCACAGCCACCAAACUGACCUGCAGCUCACAGAUUUGGUUCCCACCCUGCCAAAGGGGGCACUGAAGGACACAGUGAAGUCUCUGCUUUCUAACAUAAUACAGAUUACAUUUCUGAUCUGCAUUCACAGGGAAUUGAUGUAGACAAACUUGUAAGAUAAUACAGCUACUGCUCUGAUACAACCUUUAAAGCCAUAGUCUGGAGAAGAAAUAAGUGUGUAGCAUUUGAAAAAAAAAAAAAAACCAAAGCAGUUUUCUCAUA